AUGCUCACUUCAGCAGCACAUAUACUAAAAUUGGAAUAGUACAGAGAAGAUUAGUAUGGAUGACAUGCAAAUUUUUGAAGUGUUUCAUAUUUUU
rnacentral:snRNA from 2 species